GACGAACGCUGGCGGCGUGCUUAACACAUGCAAGUCGAACGGAAAGGCCCUGCUUGCAGGGUACUCGAGUGGCGAACGGGUGAGUAACACGUGGGUGUUCUGCCCUGCACUUCGGGAUAAGCCUGGGAAACUGGGUCUAAUAUCGGAUAGGAGCCAUUCUUAGUGUGGUGGUUGGAAAGAUUUUUCGGUGGAGGAUGAGCUCGCGGCCUAUCAGCUUGUUGGUGGGGUAGUGGCCUACCAAGGCGGCGACGGGUAGCCGGCCUGAGAGGGUGGACGGCCACAUUGGGACUGAGAUACGGCCCAGACUCCUACGGGAGGCAGCAGUGGGGAAUAUUGCACAAUGGGCGCAAGCCUGAUGCAGCGACGCCGCGUGGGGGAUGACGGCCUUCGGGUUGUAAACUCCUUUCGCUAGGGACGAAGCUUUUGUGACGGUACCUAGAUAAGAAGCACCGGCUAACUACGUG
rnacentral:rRNA from 1 species